CGUACCUUUUGUAUAAUGGGUCAGUGAGUUAGUCUACUUAGCAAGCCUAAGCCGUUAGGUGUAAGCGUAGCGAAAGCGAGUCUGAAUAGGGCGACUGAGUUAAGUGGAUUAGACCCGAAACCCGGCGAUCUAGUUAUGAGCAGGUUGAAGGUGCAGUAACAUGCACUGGAGGACCGAACCCACGUCUGUUGAAAAAGACGGGGAUGACUUGUGGUUAGGGGUGAAAGGCCAAUCAA
rnacentral:rRNA from 13 species